rnacentral:rRNA from 1 species
UUUAUUGGAGAGUUUGAUCCUGGCUCAGGAUGAACGCUGGCGGCGUGCCUAAUACAUGCAAGUCGAGCGAAUGGAUUGAGAGCUUGCUCUCAAGAAGUUAGCGGCGGACGGGUGAGUAACACGUGGGUAACCUGCCCAUAAGACUGGGAUAACUCCGGGAA